rnacentral:rRNA from 1 species
GAUGAACGCUGGCGGCGUGCCUAAUACAUGCAAGUCGAGCGAACAGACGAGGAGCUUGCUCCUCUGACGUUAGCGGCGGACGGGUGAGUAACACGUGGAUAACCUACCUAUAAGACUGGGAUAACUUCGGGAAACCGGAGCUAAUACCGGAUAAUAUAUUGAACCGCAUGGUUCAAUAGUGAAAGACGGUUUUGCUGUCACUUAUAGAUGGAUCCGCGCCGCAUUAGCUAGUUGGUAAGGUAACGGCUUACCAAGGCAACGAUGCGUAGCCGUCUGAGAAGGUGAUCAGCCACACUGGAACUGAGACACGGUCCAGACUCCUACGGGAGGCAGCAGUGGGGAAUAUUCCACAAUGGGCGCAAGCCUGAUCGAGCCAUACCGCGUGGGUGAAGAAGGCCUUCGGGUUGUAAAACCCUUUUGUUGGGGAAGAAAAACAGCAGAAUGAAACCCCGCUGUUCUGACGGUACCCAAAGAAUAAGCCCCGGCUAACUUCGUG